GAUGAAGAACGUAGCGAAAUGCGAUAAGUAAUGUGAAUUGCAGAAUUCAGUGAAUCAUCGAAUCUUUGAACGCACAUUGCGCCCGCCAGUAUUCUGGCGGGCAUGCCUGUUCGAGCGUCAUUUCAACCAUCAAGCCCUGCUUGCGUUGGGGUCCUGCGGCUGCCCGCAGGCCCUGAAAACCAGUGGCGGGCUCGCUAGUCACACCGAGCGCAGUAAUACAUCUCGCUUUGGGCGUGCGGCGGGUUCUUGCCGUUAAACACCCCCUUUUUACCAAGGUUGACCUCGGAUCAGGUAGGAAUACCCGCUGAACUUAAGCAGAUCAAUAAGCGGAGGA
rnacentral:misc_RNA from 1 species